rnacentral:rRNA from 1 species
UGUACAGGAGUAUAGCUCCCCGAAAAGGGGGAAUUUAACCCCUCCAUAAUAUGAUGAACCGGCAUCGGUUUAUUAUUAAAACUGAGGUGGUACAGGAUGAGCAUGCGUCUGAUUAGCUAGUUGGUAGUGUAAUGGACUACCAAGGCAAUGAUCAGUAGGGGAACUGAGAGGUUGAUCCCCCACACUGGCACUGAGAUACGGGCCAGACUCCUACGGGAGGCAGCAGUAGGGAAUAUUGGACCAAUGGGUGAGAGCCUGAUCCAGCCAUGCCGCGUGCAGGAAAGAAGGCCUUCUGGGUUGUAAACUGCUUUUAUCUGGGAUAAAAAGGCCUUGCGGAGGCAAACUGAAGGUACCAGAUGAAUAAGCCACGGCUAACUACGUG